rnacentral:rRNA from 1 species
UUUUCGCAACACGAUGACAUAGGUUAAUGAGGCGAACCGGGGGAACUGAAACAUCUAAGUACCCCGAGGAAAAGAAAUCAACCGAGAUUCCCCCAGUAGCGGCGAGCGAACGGGGAGGAGCCCAGAGCCUGAAUCAGCAUGUGUGUUAGUGGAAGCGUC